AUCCUGGAGUAGGGUGCUCAUCAUGCAAGGAUCAACGAAGACUCUAGUCAUUACAAUCGCGCGGAAAGUAAUGAAUAGAGUAUUGCAUCGUUUAAAUAAAUAAAAUAAAAAUCGCGAAGUAGAAGCAACGUUCGUUCGUUAUUAUUAUUCGUUCGUGUUUCGCGUCUUCAAUUUUAGAAACAUAUGUAUUUAAAUUGACUGCGAGCAAAGCAGUCAGUUGUAGAUUUAGAGUUUUUUUCUCAAAAAGUAUUUUUUCUUUUUAAACAGUCGCACAGACUGUUCGCGUAUUAGAGUCAGUGCAUCAUUGAAGAUGGUGAAGAAAUUAGUAUACUUCUUCUAUAGAAGAAUAUUGAUCGUCGUUGAAAUUCUGCUUUUAUUAGUCCAUAAGGAUGUUGAGUUUGCUCAUUUUUUAUCUACCUCUACGUCGACCCAUCUCAAUUUCAACCUCCUAUGGAUCAGCCAUCCUCUAUUCUGAUCUACAACGCGGACGAGUGUUUUGGAGCCAUCGCAGAACUUCUUAAGUAGUGAGCGAAUAAAUUUAAGUCCCUCCGGUGCUCAAUCAUGCCGAGGAUGAAAGAUCCGAAUCGGCACGAGUUACUGGUUGUAAUUGUUUAAAUAAACUAUUGACGAGCACGUAAGUAAUUCCUCUUUUGGAUUUACUCACGGUAAUAUAUUUUUAAUUGCGUGUAUUUUUCAUUGUUUCUCUCUUAUGCAUGCUUAUUUAUAUUAGCUCAGGAUAGGGUCUUCUUGUUUUAACUCGCUAAUAUUAAUAAUUAAUAAUAAGAAAAUACGUGCAUGUUGCGUUUGUUCGGUUUUUUACAAUUUUGACAUAGACAUCGAAUGAUUAAUGUUCGAUCUAUUUCAGUAUUUCGAUGUAUAAUAUACAGAAAAUAGACAAGAAGACAUUCGCGACGGAUAAGUCCCGAACUAUAAGCGACAAAGUAUGAUACUACUGUCGAUUAAUUAGAAUAGUCGCUUGUAGAAAAGGAUUGCCCGAGGUUCUUUGAUUAUUGCUGCAU